AAGCGCUUGGCCGAGAUCGUGAGUUUUUUUUUAACAAAUGACCUCAAAUCAGGCAAGAAUACCCGCUGAACUUAAGCAUAUCAAUAAGCGGAGGAAAAGAAACUAACAAGGAUUCCCCUAGUAACGGCGAGUGAAGAGGGAAGAGCUCAAAUUUUAAAUCUGCCUUGUUCCAAGGUCGAGUUGUAAUUUGAAGAAGCGUUUUCUUGGGCUCGCGGCCGGUAGAAGUUCUUUGGAACAGGACAUCAUAGAGGGUGACAAUCCCGUCCGUGACCGGUCGUGCGUUCAUCUACGAUACGCUUUCAAAGAGUCGAGUUGUUUGGGAUUGCAGCUCCAAACGGGUGGUAAACAUCACCUAAGGCUAAAUAUUGGCGAGAGACCGAUAGCGAACAAGUACCGUGAGGGAAAGAUGAAAAGAACUUUGAAAAGAGAGUUAAACAGUACGUGAAAUUGUUGAAAGGGAAACGAUUGAAGUCAGUCGUGCUGGCGCGAAAUCAACCCUCUCGUCUUGAGAUCACAUGGCGCGACGAGCCUCAAAACCGUCACGAAGCGUGAACUCUUGACGAAAAGGUGCACUUUCGUGUCCGCUGGUUAACAUCAAUUUCGAACGUCAUAAAAAGGCUGGAGGGAUGUGGCUCCUUCGGGAGUGUUAUAACCUUUAGCGGAAUGUGGCGUUCGGGAUUGAGGAUUGCAACGAAUACCUUCAGGGCUGUUCCACCUGGCUUCUCAUUGGUAUCCUGGUGACGACAGCUUGCUGACGUCGUUAGGAUCAGCUUCUGAACAGGCUAGAGUGUGAGCAAAUUCGUUAAGGAUGUUAACGUAAUGGCUUUAAACGACC
rnacentral:rRNA from 1 species